UACGUAGGGUCCGAGCGUUGUCCGGAAUUACUGGCGUAAAGAGCUCGUAGGUGGUUUGUCGCGUUGUUCGUGAAAACUCACAGCUCAACUGUGGGCGUGCGGGCGAUACGGGGCAGACUGGAGUACUGCAGGGGAGACUGGAAUUCCUGGUGUAGCGGUGGAAUGCGCAGAUAUCAGGAAGAACACCUAUGGCGAAGGGCAGCUCUCUGGGACGGUACUGACGCUGAGACGCGAAAAGCGUGGGGAGCGAACAGG
rnacentral:rRNA from 1 species